UUAAUUGAAACCAAAAUUAGAGGUUUAUCACUGUUAAUGAUAUUAUUGAAAUAAAUAUUCCAAUUAAG
rnacentral:tRNA from 1 species